CUGUCGCUAACGUCAGACAACGUCGCUAUUAACGACGCCGCCUUCCUCACGACUGAAAGUACUUACAACCAAGGCCUUCUUCAUACACGCGGCAUGGCUGCAUCAGGCUUGCGCCCAUUGUGCAAUAUUCCCC
rnacentral:rRNA from 1 species